GCGUCGCUGAGUGCCGGGGGCGGCGGUAGUGGGUCGGGUGGGGUCGUUUGCCGGUAGUAUUGUGCGGAAAGUGCUCGGAUGCGGUUUGGCGCGGUGGGAGUGAAAACCUCAUGGUUAACAGGGGGCUUGCUUUCGAUACGGGCAGACUAGAGGUAUGCAGGGGAGAACGGAAGUCCUGGUGUAGCGGUGAAAUGCGCAGAUAUCAGGAGGAACACCGGUGGCGAAGGCGGUUCUCUGGGCAUUACCUGACGCUGAGGAGCGAAAGUGUGGGGAGCGAACAGGAUUAGAUACCUGGGAGUC
rnacentral:rRNA from 1 species